rnacentral:rRNA from 1 species
GUUGACCUACGGGGCGCAGCAGUAGGGAAUUUUCGUCAAUGGGCGCAAGCCUGAACGAGCGAUGCCGCGUGAGUGAAGAAGGCCUUCGGGUCGUAAAGCUCUGUUGCGGGGGAAAAAAGGCAGCAUCAGGAAAUGGGUGCUGACUGAUGGUGCCCCGCCAGAAAGUCACGGCUAACUACGUGCCAGCAGCCGCGGUAAUACGUAGGUGGCGAGCGUUAUCGGGAUUGAUUGGGCGUAAAGGGUGCGCAGGCGGUCCUGCAAGUUUGGAGUGAAACGUAUGAGCUAAAUUGAU